CAGACUGAGAGUCAGGGGAAAGGGAAACGAGAGAUACCUGUAUGUAAAGGUACAGAACUAAUCGGAGCCGGCACCGAUGGCCAAGGAGCCCACAAUGGUCCAUUGUUGGCUGUGGAGGAGGUGAUAACGAAGGGAG